rnacentral:lncRNA from 1 species
AGCUUCCGCCUGCUACGGUCCUGGCAAGCACCUCGGGAUCCCAUUCCUUCACAGGGACCCUAGCCAGGCAAGCGCGCGCCUCACUGUACCGGAGAGCUCCAAGCACGCGCUUGGUCUGGGGCCCGGACGCUACAUCUGGGAAGGGUUAAAGCUGAUACAUUCCUGUGGGUCAACUAUGCAACUAACUCAGAUUUUGAGCAAACAAAGCUCUCAAGUUGGUGAUCCUCAGGAGUCUCUGCAUUAGUUGGACAGCUCUUCUGGAAUUAUCUUCUAAGUCAACUGUGGGUUGGGUAGGUGGCUCUGCUGAUUUUUCGCUGGACUUCCACAUUUGGGACGAGUUGGCUGUCAUCAGCUCUAGAAAGGGUGUGGCCGUUUUACAUUGGCUGUUUUCCUCACAUUCCUCAAGCAGGUACUGUAAUAAAGAACUGGAGAAAUACAGUCAGAUGGGAAGUAGCCCUUGCUGUCAAGGAGCUUGCCAUCUAAUGGGGGAGACAGGCAAGUAAACCAAAGACUACACAGUGCAGUAUGGUAAGUGCCAUGAUUUUGAUGUGACAGGGCACAGUGGACGACCUUCCAAAUCAAAGCAAGUAACUAGGGGUUGACAAUGGUAAGUAUCAUAGUUGAAGUAUCCUUGAACAAGGUUUCAGGAAGAAGAAGAAGGGAAUUUCAUGCAGGGAAACAGCCAAAGCUCAGUGAGUCAAAAUAUCACAGCAUUCUUGGUAAGCCCAAUUGUUUUUUCUGUUUUGCUAUUUUGG